rnacentral:tRNA from 1 species
UCCUUGGUAGCUCAGAUGGUAAAGCAUCUGCCUACAAUGCAGGAGACCCAGGUUUGAUCCCUGGAUCGGGAA